CCGGAAAGACAGAGCUGCUGCAGCACCCAAAGAGGGGCAACGUAAUGCUGUAACAUGGAGCUCCCCUUGCUGGCUCCAGAGGAGCUGCCCUAAGCUCACCGCCCAGGCAGGUGCCACCUCUACGCUGCGUCUUUCUCCUGAACAGUGUUCUUUCGAGGGUGCACGCUAGCAAUAAAACGGCCAUAGCUGGUGACGUUUCUCGCUACUUCUUCAAUCAGUGUUCAGAGAUGUGCAGAUACCCAUCUCCUUCAGAAGACGUAGCACAGAAAGUCAGGUGAGCUCUCCUGCUUCUGCCUUUGCAAAGCCGCCAUGAUGUAGCUGACACAGACUUGCUUGCUCUGCCACAACCAGCUGCGCGAGGCUGCUGCUCCUUGGCACUGACCACUAAGCAGGAGCAGGAAUAGCUGUAAUUCAUCUUCGUGUUGCAAAGCAUCAUGUUUCACUGACAUCUACAUACAUCAGUUUUCCAGGUAUAAAAAAAUGAAUGCAAAGAGUUUUGGUUAAACACCAGUGUGCUACUCAGCAAGGUUGCCCGCCCCGUAAUCAGUGGGAACAGCAGUGCUGCAUGGCCUGGUGACACCCUGUGGGCUGUGCCUGGCUCAGGAGUGCACAACAUUUACAUCAGGAGCUAAAAUGUAUUUGGAUAAAAGUCUUCUGCUUUGUGCAUGCUGCUUUGAAACUCUGUAGGAAAUUAGGCACAGGGUUCACGGAGCCCGGGCAAUAAUUCAAGCUGUAGCACACACAAAUGUUAUCAAAAAUAAUAAUAAAAAUGUGUCCUCAUAAAUGCAUUAUGUGGGGGCAUCUGCAUGAAAUACCAGUGCAAGUGUUUUUCUGCCUAGAUCUGUAAGGACUAUUUGCUUUUUGUGAAAUGUUUUUACGUUUUUUCAAGUGUUGUCAAUAGCUAGCAUCCAGUGAGCUCAGGAAAAAGUCUGUAUCCAGGUGAUCAGUGCCAGUAUGUGAGCCUGCUAAUGUCCUCCCCACAAUUCCUUUUGUUGCUUCCCCAAAGCAUUUGCUAUUAUAUGAUGUAUCAACACGGGUUUGUUUCUCUUGUGGCCAGAUAUUUCCCUGUAUGCCCCACGCAUGUAUGUCUUGAAUUCUUGUUGAGAUAAUAAAUGUGAAGUGCUAG
rnacentral:lncRNA from 7 species